GGAUGCCGUUCGCCAAGCAGUUAAGCUAACAGGCAUCAAGCCGUGUACGGACGUCUUCACAUUCCAAAUGCUAUGUGAAAAAAAAUCAUUCUAAACUGAGAUGUAUCCAGUACAAGACCAGCGAAAUGAGUUUCGACUAGGCGACAGCAGAUCAAUGUUUUUAAGCAGUGGCGGGUUUUGCCCAUUUGUGGAUUAGAGAGGAACCCAGAAAAUCUGUUCAAGGUCAAAAAAGGACGCAGCGUUAUCUGAGUGAUGCCAAGUAUCAUGAAA